AUGUUAUACAAUAUAUGCAAUUACCAAGAAAUCACAGUUUCAGACUUCAAAAAAGGGGUUGAGGGAGACUUUUUUAGAAGGAGACUUCACACGCCCCUAGUGGAGCAAUGGAGAGAAUUGGGGACGGUGGUGGACUCCUGGCCUCAGUCAGAUGUAUCAGAUGAGAUUACCUGGGCUUUGGGGAAGAAGAAGAAAUUCACAACCAAAUCUGUCUAUGAAUAUCUAGAGAAAAACGUGAGGGGGCGUGAUUACAAAUGGAUAUGGACAUCCAAAAUACCCUUAAAAAUCCAAAUCUUCCUCUGGCAAGUUUUCCAAGAUGCCAUUCUCACUAGAGAUGUGAUGAGCAGAAGAAAUUGGGCGAGAAACCCUACAUGCUCGUUCUGCAACGAAAGAGAGACCUCGCAACAUCUUUUCUUCACAUGUCCUGUGGCUAAAGUAAUGUGGAGAACCGUUGGGUGUGUCCUGGGCACGGAUCGAUGCCCAAAAAAUAUGUGGCAAUAUUUUGCCUGGUGCUAUAUGUUCAUCCCUGAUGGAGAAAAAUUCUAUACUUUCGGCUUGGCAGCUAUGUGCUGGGCAUUGUGGAACUGCCGUAACAAAGUGACAUUUGAAUACAAACAGAUGAGGUCUCCUUUUGAGGUUGUGUACUCAGCUUGUGGAUAUUUGAAUUACUAG
rnacentral:rRNA from 1 species